GUCCGCUGACAAAGCGCUGACCCACCCCGCUCACGGUCCGCUUACGCAGUCCGCGUGCGGCUCCAGGGAGCUGUCCGCCCCGGUGGUUCUGAACCAGGCGCCGCCGAAACGCUCCAGGAGUACCCAGGGAGCAAGAGAAGCCCUGAGACAGCAGCAAGGGACACUGUGGGGCUGCAGGUUUAAUUCUCAGGCCCAGAAAAACAACAACAGCAACAACAACAACAACACUUUCAAACUCCCCUACAUGGUAAUUCUCAGAGUGGAACAUACACAGACAUGCUCACAGUAG
rnacentral:lncRNA from 1 species